AUGGCCGUAAUUCACAUUGUAAACUAUUAGAAACCUUUUAAGGAAGACGAUUGCUUAUCUUGUUACUGAAUGUAAACAUAAGACUACGUGUAUCCAUAAGUAUGCAAAUACUUUUCCUAUUUAAAGACGCUGUUAGGUAUAAAAGAAAUCUGUAACGUGCUUUAUUUUACACAAACACUUGGCCUCCAAAUCGACACUCACAAAUGAUAUCCGCUUUUGUACAGUUUACAGUUUUUGUUGGAGUCUCUUUAGGCGCACCGGCUAUAAAAUGUCCGUCCGGCUGGUUCGGCUCUAAGUGCCAGUAUAUGUGUCACUGCAUGCCAAGAACGCCAUGCAGCUUUAGAGGGGAUUGUGAAUACGGAUGUGAUUACGGCUA